ACUAAUAGGAGCACUAGCAUCUCGAAGUUAAUAAUAUUAUUGUUUGGCUGCUGAUGAGAAAAAUUCACGAACUAAAGGAACCAAUCCACAAAAUUAGGUCCCGAUUAGGAUUUGAUGAUUGGCAGUGGCUAAAGGAACAAUAAUUAGUACUCUGUGCGUGAUAACGAUAGGUGUUCCCAGCCCAGCUGUAUAAAUCUCAAGAAUAUCCCCCCACAAUGUUUUGAGUUAAAAUGGGGAACAGACCCAUGUUUAGGUUGUUGUUGGACCUUAAAACAGUUGGGAACUCGGACACAAGUUGUGCGAAGGAGCCCCCCACCACCUCAAGAAAACAAUAACAUUCCUGACUGACUUCACUCCUCACCAAAACCCAAACAACCCACAGAACAGAAGUUGACAGACAAGACACUACACUUCCGUCGUCUGCCUAAUCCUAGCCCCUAGCAUAAUAAUUAGUAGAAGAAGAAUUGCUUCCCUUAAAAGGAAAGAAACAAGUGUCCUAAAAGAAAUGCUAAACAAAGGCUUGAUUGUCUUUGUUAGCAACAACAUAAUCUCUUCUACAACCAAUGGAAUGGAUAGAGUGUGAUUUCUAAUUAAAUAUUAAACAAAAGGGCUUUAAACAAAUACUAGUCAAAACCACAUCAUGCAUAAUCUUUACUUUAAGCAACCCCUUGAAUUAGUGGCCUAGUACUACUUAAUUAAAUUAAGUUUAAGGUUCAUAAAAAGAGAUUGUCGGAAUUAACAAACAUUAAAAGAGAUUCUCUCCACCAUGUCUAGAAUUGUUGCAACUGGGAACCGCUAAUUAUUUGAUUAACCCCAUUUAAUUAAUUAAACCCCCCCUUCCCAAUCAUUGUCCACCACAAAAGUUAUUAAUAUACUACUAAUACUACUAGCGCUGAGGAUAAGAGACUCUCUUUUUACUUUUUUUUUAAAAGUUUUCUCUUUUCAUUCCGGAUCGGUAUUAUGCAUUAAAUCGGAAAAGAAAAAGUAAUCGGGGUGACUGAUGACGAUAAUAGUUUUCUAAGGGCGCCCGUAAUGCUACUGCCGCUCCAAAUCAAACAGCAGCUAAUUCAGACUAGACCGCUUGCUGGUUUCUUUGCUACUGAAAAUCGGACAAGAGUCAUUAAAACACUUGUUGUUUUCUCUCUCGAAUCUCCACCCCUUGGCAGUCGGUUCAGAGGAUAGCUGGAUAGGGAAUCAAAUCUCAUCUUAGAGCAUGCAAAGAAGAUUAAAAGGAAGAAGUAGUGGUGGAUCACUUUUUAACCAUCACCUCCCCCACAGAACCACCAUAAUCAAGAGUGGUGUCCACUGAACUCAAGGCAGCAGCAGAAUCCCCAGAACGAGCAAAACUUAAAAAACAAACCAAGAAAAGGUGGGAAAAUGCAAGGAUUUUAAGCAAAUCAAUGUGUCAAAACGAAAAAUAAAAAAUUUAAAUUCCCAAUUGAACAAUAGCCCUCCAUUUUUAUCUUUUACUAAAUCUUUUUCACGGAUCGCUAGUCGUUCGUUAGCUAAGAACAACAUUCUCAAAAUAGGGGGAAGAAAGGAACAAAAGAAAAUCUAAUAAAGCAGUAACUAACAGUAGCAGUCUCAGCUUAGUGUCUCCACUCUCUUUUUCUUUCUGAUAGCUAUCACCUACUAAAACUUAUUAUUCAUCCUUCAUCCAUCCAUCCAUUCCAAAAGAUCAAGAAGAAGAGGAUGACCCGUUAGUGGCCACAACAUGAGCACUAACACUAUCACUAUGGUGCAUUAACUCGUGGUUAUGACUCCCGUUUUUGUUGUCAUUGUUGUUUUCAUGAUUUUGGUGGUGGUAGUGGAUAGUGAAUUCCAUACCGUUGCCGUUGUCUGUCGUUGCUGCUGCUCCUGCGGCCGCGGAGUUGGCCCCGCCGGAGGAAAUGUUAGCUUGAUCUCUCUUUCCAAAAGUGUUUUUGUUGUUAUGCAUCCAAACUUUGAGCACCCCUUUAUCCACCCCAAUUUCGUUGCAGAAUUCCGCGAUCAAAUCUUCGUCUCUCUUCUGAAUUUUCCAUCCAACUUUCUCAGCGAAAUCCAGCAUUUUUUCCUUCUGAUCCGGAGUGAAUUUUGUCCGGUACCUCUUCCUCCCAUUCGAGUUUCCAGCCGUGACAGCGGCGCCCGCGUUGGCCGUGGGGGUUAUGGGGAUGUUGCUGUCCUGGGGCGGGCCCGACAAGCCUGCACUGAGGGCGAGAAGCAUGUGGGGAGCCGAGGGGUAAUAUGACGAGGAGAUCGGCGGAGGAGACGGAGAACUGGGGCUGCUGUGUCCACCGCUGCUACGUUGAGCUGGUGGGAGCGGAGGUGGAGGAUGGUGGCGGUGGUGGGGCUGGUACUCGAGAGCUGCGGUGGUGUUAGGAGGUGGGAGCGGCUCUUCAGGCUCCCGGCGGUGGAAGUUGCGGUGGCAGCCGCAGGCAGCGCAUUUGAGGGAGGUGGGGUCAGUGGGAGUGGCAGUAGGGGAAGGCAUGAACUCGCCGCAACCGUCGACGGCGUGGCCUCCCAAGCUGGCGGCGUGGUUCUUGAGGCAUUCCUUGUAAGUAACCAGAAGGGUAGCAUGUGGGUGGUGGUGGUGGUUGUUGUUGUUGUUGAAGCUGGCGUGGUGGUGGUGGAAGUGGUGGUGGACAGCAGGGUGGCGCUUGAGGACGCCGUUAGAGAAAGAAGAGGGCUUAGAUGGUUGGAUCCGCGUUGGGGUUUCGGUUUCAGCUUCGGGGGUUUUGACAGAUGCAGUGGUGGUGAUUGUGGUAUUAGUGACAGUUAAGUCC
rnacentral:lncRNA from 1 species